GAGCUCUUAAGAUUUCAAUCGACUUAAAUUGAAACAUUAUAAAGAUUAAUGCUACUUAGUGUGUGUGUGUAUUUCAGUUCGGUUGGUCAUGGAGAAAAUUGGGGAUCAUAAUAGGGUUUCCAAAUGAAUUAGGAAUUGAUUAGAUCAAAUUAUUAUUGGGGGCAAUAUGAUUUGAGUAUUCAGUAUAGUUUUGUAGUGUCAUUGCUUUCUGAAAAAUUGGGGAAUGGGGAGAAA
rnacentral:misc_RNA from 1 species